AUGAACGGGGGAGGGUCAGAGAGAGGUAGACACAGAAUCCGAAGCAGGCUCCAGGCUCUGAGCUGUCAGCACAGAGCCGGACGCGGGGCUCGAACUCACGGACCGCGAGAUCAUGACCUGAGCCGAAGUCGGCCGCUUAACCGACUGAGCUACCCAGGCACCCCGAGAAUGGAUUUUGAAUGAAGAUAUUCUGACCUGCUUUUCAGUUAUAUCAUAUUCAUCCUUGGGUCUCCAGUUUCUUCAAGAAUCCUGGUGUGAAAGAAUAUUACGCUUGUUGAGGGAAUGAAUGAGCUGGUUCUAACACUCAUAAGAUCAACUUCACCUCUCCUAAUUACCGAUUUAAUUCUAAUUUGACAUUACGUUUUAUAGAUUCUGAGCAAAGUGGGAUACUCCCCCUUUUCCUAACAUCAGAAAACCUUGGAGAAAAGGAUUGUUAUUUUCACAGUCAAGCAUUUUAUCCUAAACCUGGGCAUCUGAAUAAAAGACAUUGACACCUGUUUCCUCCUUUUUGCUCAUAUUCUUGUAGCACUCUAUUUAUAUACUAGCACUACCAUUUUAGACACUGGAAAACCAGACAGGAAAGCUGCACCCCCAACCCUCCUCCUCUAUGUUUUUCUGAUCACUAUUGACAUGUAAGGCUGGAGAAUUCUUUGUUGUGGAGGGUUGUCCAAUUCAUUGCAGGUUGUUUAGCGGCAUGUUUGCCAUCUACUCACUAGAUUCCAUCCACUACUCAUAGUAGAUGUCAACGAUGCAACCAAAACCAUCUCCAGACAUUGCCAGAUAAACCCUAGAGGAUGGAAUCACCCCUGGCUGCAAACUACUGCAUUAGGUCGAGAUUGCUUCAGGUCCUCCCUUAUAAACACACACGCAUGCGCACACACACACACACACAUUUUCUCUCACACACAUUCUCUCUCACAUGCACACUCACACACACACCUCUUUCACAUACACCAGCUCUCUCACACACUACCUCUCUCACACACAUUCUCUCAUACACACACAUUCUCUCUCUCUCUACACACACACACACACACACACACAUUCUCUUUAACACACUGUCUCUCACCUACAUUCUCUUUCUCUCACACACACAACACAUUCUCUCUCUCACACACACACAUUCUCUUUAACACACAAUCUCUCACCCACAUUCUCUUUCUCUCACAUUCUCUCUCACAAACACAUUCUCACACAUACACACACUCUCUUACACACACAUGCACACACACACUUCCUUUCAGCUUUCUUUCUUUUUCCCCUCCCUUUUUUCCUUCUUCGUUACCCUUUUCUUGGUAAGUGUCAUCAUAGUUGUCUCUUCAUCUUCAGCAACUACUCUCAGGAAAAACCAGUUUACUAUUCUCUCAGGAAACAGAACAUGUGAAGCCAUUAUUGGUCACUAAUGACUUAGAGUAACCAAAUAUCCCAGUUUGACAAAGAGUGAAGAAGUUUCCAGGAUGUGAACAUUUUAGUGCUAAAAUUGGAGAAAUCCUGGGCAAACCAGAAUGAGCUCAUGUCCAACCCUUUUAACCUCUGAUCCCUAUGGUCCAGUCUGUGUAUAACGUCUUACUCAUACAAGCCCAGACCAAAUAUCUAUUAGUUAUAAAAACAGGAUUACAAUCUAAAUUUUGUGCUUUUAUAAAUGCAUUGAAGUUGCUUCUUUAACACAUUCCCACCUCCAGCAUCUUUCUUACCUUUUCCCCCUUGUCCCUGAUUAUCUUAUACCGACACUACACCAGCACCUUUCCUUCCUCCUAAAUUUCCAAAAUUCUCUUAUUUCUUUAUUUUGAGGAUUAACUUAACCUCUCUCCUUCCUCCUCUCACCUCUCAGGUUCUCCCUUCAUUGCCACCUUUCAAAACCAAUUCCAGGAACUGACUUGGCAGUGAUGGAGGAAACACUCCCUGGGGGGAUAGAUGGGUAUUGGAGGAAAGAAACAGAGCAGUCUGAAUCAUUGUUGGCUUCUAGGGAGAAAGAACAAUACCAGAAUCAUUUACAUGUAAUAUCACAUAUGUAUUACUUUAUGAGCUACUACCUAAUAAGAAUAGCUAAAAGUGGAAGCAGAGGAAUGAGAAAACGGUAACAGCUGAAUUUUGAUGGGAUGUCCGUAUGGAAAAUAUAGAUAUACAGAUUCUACCCUGAGUAGCUGUGGGGAGGAUAUAAGGCUGCCAGUGCUCAGUACUAGUUCCUGAGUACAUACAUAGCAAGGGGAAGAGGUUAAGGGUAGGGGCAUUAGAAGGGAAUACAAUUUGCUGUUUCAUAUCACUGGGUAAAGCCAAUGUUAUGUUCUCCUGAUUACACCCUUAUCUUCAACUCCUUUCUCCCCAACAUUCAGUCCUUUUAAACCUAGUUACCAUUUGGCCAACUAAUUUGUCUUUGCCUCAAAUGUUCUGAGGUCACUACAUCACCACCACAAAAUAAUUUCGUUAGCAAAAGUGUUCUCAAACACAAGACAUAAGCUCUGAAAGGAAAAUAUAAAAUUAUAAGAUCACUGCUGUAAUAUCAAAUGCCCAUCGAGUUAAAAGAAGAUGAGAACAUCCCUCACACAGGGAAGCAGUAACACUUUAGAACAAGAGACAGAAGGAUUAGUGAGUUCUUACUCUGUGAACCUAAGGGUCUGUUACAUUUCCUACAUGUAAAAUGUUUCCCAAAUAACCCUCAUGAUUCAUGUUUUGAAUAUCAUGAAGUUUGAAUUAUUUACUUCACUUACAAAAAUCCAUUUGGGGCAAAAGAUAAAACCAUAUGAAAGACAAGGAAGGAACCGAUUGCAGACAAGGGCAUUUAUUUCUAUUUAUGGUAUUUGAAUUCUGCAGAGUUCAUGCAGACUUAAAUCAUUUUCGUGUUUCAAGCUCAUAGUGACUCAGCUCUUCCUUUACCAGUAAAUGUAAUUGUUAAUGAACCUUGCCCUGCCUUUGCAGGGGCAGAAAUCCUUUUAUUUCAUUAAAUCCAAUUCAAUAAGCAAGAGCUUCUGUUGAACUCCUGAGUGGGUUGAGUGUGCUUGUGUGUUUCAUUUUAACAUUCAUUUAACAUUUAUUAUAGAAAUUAUUAUAUUAUCUCUAUAGCCAUAGCCUUCCCUAACAAUCCUGUAUUGAAAAUGUUCUGGAAGUAUAUUACCCCUUUGGGGGUCUGUAUUACUGUUCUGUUGCUGUUGUGACAAAUUAUCAUGGACUUUGUGGCUAAAGACAGCACAGAUGUAUUGUCUUAUUAGUUCUGGAUGUGAGAGGUCUAAAAUGAGUUUCGCUGGGCUAAAA